ensembl:lncRNA
GUUAGACGUUCAGCGCAGUCCCAGCGGAUGGUUGUGUAUGCUGCGUACGUUAGUGCUCCGUGCCUCAGUUUGCUCAUCUCAACUAUGGGGAUAUCAGUGUUUCCAGGCGCAGAAGAAAUGGGGAAAAGACUUGGAAAGCGUUUGUCACAUCGGGGCUAUAAAUAAUAGCCAUUAUUAGCAUAGAGUCUAAGAACAGUGGCCAUAAAGGUAACCUUUAUUAUUCUCCUAGAAAUAUUUCCCUACUCUGCCCCACCACUACCCUAGCAAACUCAGUAGGUGCUCACAAAAUAUAACUGUUGAGUGAACAAGUGUGGGCGGGUCACUGGCCUUUUCUUUUUUCCUCUCUUCCCCUCUUCCCCAAGUAGGGCCGGGCCUGGAUUCACUUAAAUCAGUUCUCAUCACUUAGCUUCAUGAUUUUCUUUGCCCCUCUGAAUCUCAGCCUCUUCCACUGUAAGGGAAGCCAGUGUUAGGACAGGUGGAUUUUUUUUUUCUUUUUUCUUUUUUGCCAGAGGAGAGCGCGGAUCGCAGUCCCCCACUACCACAAAUUAUGCAGUCGCUUUUCCUGCAUUUGGGGAAAUCGCAGGGGUCAACACAUCCGGAGUGCAAUGGAUAAGCCUCGCCCUGGGAAAACCACCUUCGUGAUCAUGCUACCUCCCCUUCCAGAGAUGGGGUCCUGACACGGACGGGGUCGCCAACAGUUAGGAAUGACAUCAUCUACACACCUCCCAGCUCCACAAAAACUCUCAGAGACGUGAGAACUCUGAAAGGUUCCAGAAACUCAGUAACAGGAAUCCCAUUUUUCUAAACAACUUGAAAACUGGGUGAAAGACUUGACUAUGGACCUCCUGCCUCUGAAGAAAACAAUUCAAAUGGCGAAUAAGAGCAUGGAAACCUUUCACUCGAGUAACAAUCAGGGAAGGCAAAUCAAAAUCACAAGGGAGGGUCUGGGUCAACAUUCAUGGAAAACUCGAGCAUAGGGGCUCAAGUUAACUUUGCAGUACCUGUAAUCCUAGUGUUGGAGCGCAGAAAGGCAGUUCCCAGGAGGUGGUGUUGCUUGCCUUUAACUCUGAGUUCCAGGACAGCUUGGUCUACAGAGUGAGUUCCAGGACAGCCAGAGCUAGAGAAACCCAUUCUCAAAAAAAUAAACAAACAAACAAAAAUCUAGUUUUGAGUUUUGCAGAGUGCGUUCCAGGUUCAGAGAGAAACUGUCUUUAAAAAAAAAAAAGAUAGUGAUAAAGAAAGAAACCUAACCCAACUUCUACCCUACACACACACACACACACACACACACACACACACACACACACACACUCAUGUGCACGCAUAGUGCACAUGCACACAAAUGCCCAUUACACAAGUGUAUGUGUGCAGACAGUCACAAUGAGAAGCUGAGGCUGGGAAUACAGCUUGCUUGGUGGAGCUCUUGCCUGACAUGCAUAAAGGAGGCUCUGGGGUUGAUCCCCAGGGCCACAGGAAUACUCGUAAUCCCAGUACUCAGGAAGUGGAGGCAGAAGAACCAGAAAUUCAAGGUCAGCCUCAGCUAUACAGUGAGUUAGCCUGGGCUACAUGAGAUCCUGACUCAAAAGGGCAGAGGGAGGCAGAAAAGAACUAUUGGCAAGAGCAUGGAGGAAUUGGAAGCCUUGUGUAUUACUAGUGGGACUGUGACUGUGGAAAGUAGCCUACAGUUCCUGAAAAAAGUUAAACAUGAGAUCGCCACAUAAGCCAGUGCUUCCAUCCAACUUAAGGUAUUUAAAUUGAAAAUAUUUCUGUAUAGCCAUGUUCACAGUUGUUCAUGACAACCAAAAAAGUGAUCACAGGUGUGCCCUCCAUUUCCAGAGUGAAGUUCAUUCCAGAGGUAGCCAGGUUAACAACCAAGAACAGCCAUCACAAGUGGUAUAUUUUAUAUACACACCACACACACAGAACCCAAG